AGUGAACGCUGGCGGUAGGCCUAACACAUGCAAGUCGAACGGCAGCACAGUAAGAGCUUGCUCUUACGGGUGGCGAGUGGCGGACGGGUGAGGAAUACAUCGGAAUCUACUUUUUCGUGGGGGAUAACGUAGGGAAACUUACGCUAAUACCGCAUACGACCUACGGGUGAAAGCAGGGGAUCUUCGGACCUUGCGCGAUUGAAUGAGCCGAUGUCGGAUUAGCUAGUUGGCGGGGUAAAGGCCCACCAAGGCGACGAUCCGUAGCUGGUCUGAGAGGAUGGUCGGCCACACUGGAACUGAGACACGGUCCAGACUCCUACGGGAGGCAGCAGUGGGGAAUAUUGGACAAUGGGCGCAAGCCUGAUCCAGCCAUACCGCGUGGGUGAAGAAGGCCUUCGGGUUGUAAAGCCCUGUUGUUAGGAAAGAAAAGCAGCAGGUUAAUACCCCGCUGUUCUGACGUUACCCAAAGAAUAAGCACCGGCUAACUUCGUG
rnacentral:rRNA from 1 species